UAGCUCUGAACAAGCCCUUUACCAUGC
rnacentral:piRNA from 1 species